rnacentral:misc_RNA from 1 species
GAUGAAGAACGUAGCAAAAUGCGAUAAGUAAUGUGAAUUGCAGAAUUCAGUGAAUCAUCGAAUCUUUGAACGCACAUUGCGCCCGCUGGUAUUCCGGCGGGCAUGCCUGUUCGAGCGUCAUUUCAACCCUCAAGCUUUGCUUGGUGUUGGGCGUCUUGUCUCCAGUCCGCUGGAGACUCGCCUUAAAGUCAUUGGCAGCCGGCCUACUGGUUUCGGAGCGCAGCACAAGUCGCACUCUUUUCCAGCCAAGGUCAGUGUCCAACAAGCCUUUUUUCAACUUUUGACCUCGGAUCAGGUAGGGAUACCCGCUGAACUUAAGCAUAUCAAUAAGCGGAGGA